rnacentral:lncRNA from 1 species
UUUUUAGUUCAAGUUUUAUCAAUGUCUAUAUGUAAUCUCUAUUUACCUUGUCCAGUAUACUUCUAUUGAAGUUUUUAUCUAUAAAAAAAGUAUUGAUAUCCCAAACUCUAAAACUCAUCACGUAAUAGCAAAAAUAAAGUUCAACUAAUUAUCAUCAUAUCUUUUCUACGCUAUUAUAUACUCAAUUAUAGCAUUUCACGUGCAUCUUACUAGUUGUCAAGAAAAAUAUUGAGUUAAAUAUUUCAAUAGUAAUUUCGUACAAUGUCACGACUCAUCAAAUUUUGUGAAACAUUUCAUUGGUCACUGAACUUUGCUCCGUCCCACUUCAUCACUCAUGAUGGAAUCUGUUAAUAGAUCUGCUCACGCGACAGACAGGAAAAUGAACUGUCCAGCUAAACGUUGAGUGAAGUGACAAAUCAAUUCCAUGUCAGCAAUUACAUCUUUGCUUAACAACUAAACAAAUCACCAAUUAAAUUCCCAACUCUAAGGUCGUGAAAUUCAAUUCUCCCAAAUCUAUUCCUGCCACGAAAUCUUUGAGGUCAUGAAUCCCAUUCAAUUCUUUUCUCACGGGAAUUCUUUUAAGGUGGUAGUAAUGAAAUUGGGGAGUACAAUGAGACUUGAUUUCAGUAAUAAUGAUAUCAAUGAAGGACAAAGUGCUGAUAUGAAGAAUGGGGAGUGCAAUGAGAGUUGGAGUCUGCCUACAAAAUUUUGUAACAUAGGUUUUGUUUUCGGUGCUGAUAAGAUAAUUCAGUAUCAAAUGUGGAUUUGCAAAAUAGAAAUUCUUUGUUCGGUACAUAUAUAGAUAACUCGGAGUCCAAUAUAAGUUUGAAUGAUGGGUAUUUUGUGUUUGGCUCUAAUAAAGAUAGCUCAAUGUUGAAUCAAGUGAUUGGAAAAAAAGGCCAUGUUGAUGAAACUACUUUGACUACUGAAGGAUUUGAAUCUUGAUGGAUCUACUUUGCUUGUUGAUGAAAUGAAGAUUUCAAAUAGUUUUAUGUGUCUUGGGAUAGACUCUAAAUUAAAUUUUGAAAGUACGUGUGUUUUAGUUACUAAAUUUCAAAAAAGCCCUCUAUUUGAACUCUUGAAUGAGAUGAAGGGAUUAAAGAUUGAUAAUUCUAAAGAGUUGCUGGGAAGAGCAAAAAAUGUGGUAGCAAUUCAUCUGUCAUCGCUAGUAACAUAUUCGUGUUUAGAAUCUGUUGACUCCAAAAAGUGUUGCCAACAGAUGUCGGAUCCACCCGCACACACGUGAACGAAAGUCCAACACGCUAAGACACGUGGACGGUCUAAAAUGAACGGAUCGAGGGCGUUGGAGUAGCUCAACAGAGUGGGACGAGAAUGUUCAGAAUCCGACGGGAUGUUUGUAUACCGAUUG